GAGCAGAGCUUCUUUUCUUCAGCUGGUAAUCAAAUUGGAGCUAAAAUGAAAUUGAGUUUUCUUAUGAAAAUAGCCUUUGUUGCUGGGAAGGCUGGUAAUUCAUAAACAAUAACCUGCUCUUUUGUGUGGAUAAUAAUAUAUUCAUGUUCUUUCAAUAGGGUAAAAGCCAGACCUAGUGCAUUAUGGUACAGUAAAAAUAGCAGAGGGGCUGGCUGGAAGGAUCUUGAAGAAGUGGAGCAUUUGGAGCUCUCCGUCCUGCACCCCUUGGAAAGGCACUCUGCUUUAUCUCUGGGCUGCUUUCCUUGUUGAUUUGCUGCUGCCACACAAUAUUUGGUUAAUUGUGGAUGGUCUCAAGCUGUGCUCAUCGCUGGGAAGGCUGCUGCGGCUGCUGCCAGCCAGCCUGUGGCCACAGGGUACGCGGCGGCGUUCGCAGGAGCGGCGGAGCGCUGCUGAGGACAGGAGGUCCGGCGGGCCAGGGCGGUGCCUGGACGCAGAGCCUGGCAGGGGAAAAGUCAGGAGUUGGAGUUGCUGAUCCAAAGGAGGUAAAGGUCGAGGACGCGCCAGGACGUGGAAGGUCUUCUCUUCUGAGAUUUCACAUGAAAGGACACACUCGUCAGUGAGGCCUGCAAUCACCGUCAACUCACAGGGCCAGCCCAGAGAAACUGACCUGGCUGUGGCCAAGCCGCACAGGGGUCCAGACGUGUGGGGCCGAGGGCCAGCUGUCAGGCCCCAUCGCCAGAACGGAAAGCAUCUCCUCCCUGUCUCCCUGGUCCUCAUCGGCCACACCAGAUCCAGGAGUUGGCGCCCAUUCCCGAGACCUGUGUCCCCUCCCUGGAGGUGCUGGGGUCUAAGCAGCGUGUCAUUUCCUGUGGUUUCCAGCCACUUGUACCCAGUGCCCACUGGUUCCCCCCACUGCUGGGACGCAGUUGGGCCUCUCUGACUGGGCUCUGCAGCCUGGAGGCCUCCCAGUGACUCUACUUCCCACGCCGGGUUCCCAGGCCUGCUCCCCGGUGGGCCUCCCAGAGGCCAGGCUGGCUGGCCAUCUCCGACUUCAGGCCCCUGUGUUCUCCCUGCGGUCGUUCUUAGGGCUGCAGGGACAGUGAAGGCUGUUCAGACACUUCCUGGAAAGGCUUCUCGCAGUGAAGAGCAAAGCCACCUUGAGCUCAGCCAGACGUGUCUGCACACACAGCCAGCAGAGCGCAGCCCUGGGGGGCCAGCCCUGCCCAAGCACAGGGCUUUGCCUCAGAGCACUGUGUGGCCACUCACUCUCCAGACACCAGAACCAUCCCGAGGCGCUUGGGAGGCAGGGCUUCAGCUCACUGUGAGGUCGGCGGGAGGGAGCUGACCUCUGUCCCACAGAUGACAGCAGUAAAGUCACCACAAGUGCCCGAUGUCCUUAGAAUACCAUGUGUCCAUGGCCGCCAGUGCACUGGGCCGCAGGAGGGGUUCUCCCACCAGUGUGGGUUCCCGUCUCCUGAAGAUGGAGCUCAGCCAGCGGCCAGAGGAACCGCAGGAGGGAGUCUUCCCUGCAGGGGCAGGGCUGGCGCACGUGGGGCGCCCUUCUGGAGACAGCAGGACCGCUACAGAGGGACGGUGGCUGGAGUCAUGGAAACACCGUGAGCUGGGACUCGCGGCCCAGCAGGCUCCAUCUCUGCACAAAGCCCUGACGGCUCUUCCGGGGCAGAUGCCACUGAAGCAAGUUGCCCGUCGCUCCGUGAGGCUCUAAGGGGCCUAGAGUAGGAGAGUGGAGCCCGCAGGGGCUGGGGAAGGAGCCCCCUGGCCUGCGCCAGGCGCCCGCCCACAGUGGGCAGGGCACCGUCCCCUGGACUCUGCCGCCUGGACUCCUGCUCCCCGGCCACAGGCGCCCUCUCUUCCAGCCCUCUUCAUGCCCUCCUGUCAUCUUGGGGUCCUGUUCCGUGUUUUAAAGUCUACUUUUCCUCCCAUAACCCAGGCCAGUUCCUGGGGUUGGAGCCUGGAGCCCACCAUUGCCGGGUGCCUCUCCCUGAGAAGAGCCCGUCCCGACUCCGGCUCACGCACUGGAGCCUCCAGGACACCUUCUCCCUCCCGCUACAUUCUGAGGAAAUGGGGGGAGUGAAGUCCUGGGUGGAGGUCCAGGGAAGUGACCUGUGGGCGCAGAGACCACUGGCGGCAGAGCCCUGUGGACUUCUCCUUGCCCUCCCCUGGGACAAUGCCAGGAUGGACAUUCGCAGAGUCCAUGUGGAUUACAAAUGUCACUGGUCAAGAGGAAGAGACACUUGAGCCAGGGACUUCUCUGCGGCUCUGGGCCGACGGCCACCGGGAGCCCUGAAGAGCGGUUGGGCCUCCAGCAGAUGCCUCAAUGUCCACUGCCCAUGGAUAAGAGACCACAGCUCAGAGACACUUUCUAAGGAGGCCAAAAUGCCUCCACAAAGGAGGCCCAGCAUGAUCCAGAGAGGUGGACUCCCAGAGCCCUUUCUGCAGCACGUGGAGACCCGCUGGGAAGCAGAUGACCUGCUUCCAGGCUGAGAGCAGGGCAAACUGGACAGUGCCCACUCCCAGGCACAGGCUGACAUCUCUUCCACCUGAGCAGUGCCAGGCUCUGCCUCAGAACCUGGUAUGAUGGCACAGAGAAGUCCACUGAACCAGCAAUCAACAGGCUAUGAGGAUGCAGUGUGGGGAAAGCAGUCAAGCCCGCGCGGCGCGAUUGUGAGGGGCUCUGCUGGAAUUUGGCAGCGCAGAGGCUUGGAGAGCUGCCCCAUGCUGGCUCCCAUUCAGCGGGCCGGUUUUCCUCGAGCUUUGGAAGUUUCACUCAGCCGUGCACUCAAUGGCUUCACAAAGCUGAUUACAAGCUUCAGCGCAUUCCUGAAGGAGCCAAAAGCGACGCAGGUGCAAACGAGCCAAGGGAGCCCCUUAUCCCGGUGACAGAAUGGGACAAGCUGGGAAAGGCUUGGACCACACAAAUCCAGGCUCACCAGGCAGCAGAAAGCCUGCCUUGGGAACCGGGGGUCAUUAUCCGCCCUAUUCAGCGGGGCCCGGGGACCCUGGGGGCCCGGAGAGGCCGGCCCCAAAGCAAGCGCCACCGCCAGCGCGGGCCAGCGACAGUGGGGACCCUGCUGGGCCCUGCGACUGGACUGGGGCAUGGGCGCUGCUGGGCUUGUUUGGAUCGACAGCAUCCGUGAAAUCCCUACUCCAACAGGCCGCUGUCCACGCUGAUAGGCAACAGGAAGAAGAGCGUGGCAGGAGGUUCCGCCGUGCGUGGACCCUCGCGGGUUCGCUGUCUCGACCGCAUUGCUUAGGCCCCGCCCCCACCCCACCCUCGCACUGCGGGACUCGGCCAGGGACCCUGGCGAGGCCGUCGACGCACAGUUCUGAGGGUCUCUCCGGCCCCUUUCUCCCCCAGUCCCCUUUCAUGUCUUAUUCCGCGGGGCAGCGGGGUCCAGUAGAGAGCAGCACCGAUGCGGUGCGGUACAGGGGCAGUGGCACGAGGGGAGAGUGGGCUUCCUCCCCUGGGCCGGGGAGUCAAAGCGCGUUCGGCGAGGCAGAGUCUGAUUCUGCGUCUGGGGAGGAGAGCCUGCUCCUCUCCCGGAGUCACCGAUGAUGUCCCCGCUUGAGUUCAAGGACCAAAAACCAGGGGCUGCUGAGGGCUGGGAGAGAAUGACCCGGCCUCGCCCAGCGUCCAGGAGAGAAGAACGCGCGUGUGGGAAGGACGUGGGCUGGGGGGCUGGGGCAGUGGAGGGGAGCGCCAGGGAAACAGCGCGGGCGCGGGGACAGGCCGCCCUGUGCCGGGUCCAGGCUAGCGCAGCACUCUGCGCAGUCCCUGCGUGGGGCCAGGGUGGCUUCCCCCACCUGCACGCCCCCCACUUCCUGGCCCUGCUGGCCCAGCGAGGCCUGGGCCCCGCCCGCCUCGCGCUGGGCCGGGUUGCGCCCGGGGGUCCCCGCGGGCAGGGCGCGGGCGGGCAGGGCGCGCGCGCCGACGCUCUUUUGUCUGAUAACUAAUUUGAGUUAAUGCGAUCUUUAUGUAAAGCUAACAGCGGAUAAUUGUCUAUUUUCUCGCCAACAAUCUCCAUCACAAUCACUUAUCUGGAAACCUGCGGUUGGAUUAAUCGUUAUAUUCCCGAGAUGAGCGUCGCUGCAAUCCACAGCAAACGCAGUGGGGACGUGGAAACGCCUCCCGGGAGCUGCCCGGACGCGGUGCGCCAGAGUCGGAGCCCGCGGGUGAGGGCAGUUGGGUGCGCCUCUAGAACUUGCUUUAGCUCGGGUGGGUGGCGCCGGGGCGCGGAGGCGAAGGGAGUGGGAAGAAAGGCCUGCAGGCAGAGGGAGCGGCAGGGUAGGCUCUCCGCGAGGGCGCGCAGCCUCCGGGUGCAUGCGGCCGCGGAACUGUCUGUCUGUCGGAAUCGAACGCUUUUGACCUGGGAGAAAUGAAGCCCUCAGACCCACUUUUUUUUUUUUUGGCUGCAAAAGAUGACUCCGCCCA